rnacentral:rRNA from 1 species
CUAAGUUUGAUGGCGACCGGCGCGCGGGUGAGUAACACGUAUCCAACCUGCCGAUGACUCGGGGAUAGCCUUUCGAAAGAAAGAUUAAUACCCGAUGGCAUAGUUCUUCCGCAUGGUAGAACUAUUAAAGAAUUUCGGUUAUCGAUGGGGAUGCGUUCCAUUAGUUAGUUGGCGGGGGUAACGGCCCACCAAGACGACGAUGGAUAGGGGUUCUGAGAGGAAGGUCCCCCACAUUGGAACUGAGACACGGCCCAAACUCCUACGGAAGGCAGCAG